rnacentral:rRNA from 1 species
AACGCUAGCGGCAGGCCUAACACAUGCAAGUCGAGGGGUAAGGUUCAGCUUGCUGAAUACACGACCGGCGCACGGGUGAGUAACACGUUUGCAACCUUCCUCUAACUGGAGAAUAGCCCGAAGAAAUUCGGAUUAAUACUCCAUAAAGUCAAUUUAAGGCAUCUUUUAUUGAUUAAAGCUCCGGCGGUUAGAGAUGGGCAUGCGUGUCAUUAGCUAGUUGGUGAGGUAACGGCUCACCAAGGCCACGAUGACUAGGGGGUCUGAGAGGAUGAUCCCCCACACUGGUACUGAGACACGGACCAGACUCCUACGGGAGGCAGCAGUGAGGAAUAUUGGGCAAUGGACGCAAGUCUGACCCAGCCAUGCCGCGUGCAGGAUGACUGCCCUAUGGGUUGUAAACUGCUUUUGUUUGGGAAGAAACCCCCGAUCGUGAUCGGGGCUGACGGUACCAUACGAAUAAGCAUCGGCUAACUCCGUGCCAGCAGCCGCGGUAAUACGGAGGAUGCAAGCGUUAUCCGGAUUCAUUGGGUUUAAAGGGUGCGCAGGCGGAAUAUUAAGUCAGUGGUGAAAUCCUGCAGCUUAACUGUAGAACUGCCAUUGAUACUGAUAUUCUUGAAUAUAGUUGAGGUGGGCGGAAUGUGUAAUGUAGCGGUGAAAUGCUUAGAUAUUACACAGAACACCAAUUGCGAAGGCAGCUCACUAAACUAAUAUUGACGCUGAGGCACGAAAGCGUGGGUAGCAAACAGGAUUAGAUACCCUGGUAGUCCACGCUGUAAACUAUGAUCACUCGCUGUUGGCAAUACAUCGUCAGCGGCUGAGCGAAAGCAUNNAGUGAUCCACCUGGGGAGUACGGUCGCAAGAUUGAAACUCAAAGGAAUUUGACGGGGGCCCGCACAAGCGGAGGAAACAUGUGGGUUUACUUCGAUGAUACGCGAAAGAACCUUACCUGGGCUUAAAUGCAGAGCGACGGUCCCCG